rnacentral:rRNA from 1 species
UAGUUUUUUUAGAAAUAAAUUUAAUUUACAAAUUUUUGAUUUUUUGGUUAUUUUUUAAAUCGAAAAAUUUAUUUAUUUGAAUAUCUUAAGGGAUAAGCUUUAAGAUAAAUUAUUAAAAAUUAAUAGUAAUAGUAUAAAAUGUAUGCUUAGAAUUAGCAAUCAUUACAGAGUUUGUUAUAAAUUAUUUUAUGAAUUAUAUUAUUUAUUAUAUUUUAAUUGAUUUAUAAAAAUUUUUUUAUUAAUUAAAUAUAAAAGGGAAUAAUGAUAGAAUUAGUAUAUUUUUUUGUUUAUGUAAUUUUAUAUGAUAAGUUUAUGUAAAGAACUCGGCAAAAAUUUUACCCGCCUGUUUAACAAAAACAUGUCUUUUUGAGUUAUUUUUAAAGUCUGACCUGCCCACUGAAAUUAUUUAAAUGGCCGCAGUAUUCUAACUGUGCAAAGGUAGCAUAAUCAUUAGUCUUUUAAUUGAAG